CACGUAGGGCGCAAGCGUUGUCCGGAAUUAUUGGGCGUAAAGAGCUCGUAGGUGGUUUGUUACGUCCGCUGUGAAAUCCUAGGGCUUAACCCUGGGCUUGCAGUGGAUACGGGCAGACUAGAGGUAGGUAGGGGAGAAUGGAAUUCCUGGUGUAGCGGUGAAAUGCGCAGAUAUCAGGAGGAACACCAAUGGCGAAGGCAGCUCGCUGGGACGGUACUGACGCUGAGGCGCGAAAGCGUGGGGAGCGAACAGG
rnacentral:rRNA from 1 species